rnacentral:rRNA from 1 species
CAGCAGCCACGGUAAUACGAAGGGGCUAGCGUUGUUCGGAAUUACUGGGCGUAAAGCGCACGUAGGCGGAUACUUAAGUCAGGGGUGAAAUCCCGGGGCUCAACCCCGGAACUGCCUUUGAUACUGGGUAUCUCGAGUCCGGAAGAGGUGAGUGGAAUUCCGAGUGUAGAGGUGAAAUUCGUAGAUAUUCGGAGGAACACCAGUGGCGAAGGCGGCUCACUGGUCCGGUACUGACGCUGAGGUGCGAAAGCGUGGGGAGCAAACAGGAUUAGAUACCCCCGUAGUCCCUGUCUCUUAUACC